AGAUAUGAUUUCUCGUCUGGCCAUAAUACGCACCUGCAAACACUCUUUGAAGUCCUCUUCCACUCUCGUCCUCCAUCUCUCAUCACUCCAUGGGCAUCCCCUUCCCAAGCUCUGUGCUUAGCCCAAAUAGUUGGCCUUUCCUGAAUAGAGAGACAGGCCAGUCUUUGGUAGAGGGGAUAUGAGUGGUUGCAAACCCUUGCUAGAACCUCCCAAAAGCUCUUCAUUAUUAUUAUUUAUUAUUGAUUUGAUAAUGAUUAACAAGAUUGUAAGAUAACAGGGUUACAAUUCCACAGUUCCUACCACCAGAGUUCUGU
ensembl:misc_RNA 7SK 7SK RNA